UGGGGAAUAUUGGACAAUGGGCGAAAGCCUGAUCCAGCAAUGCCGCGUGAGUGAAGAAGGCCUUAGGGUUGUAAAGCUCUUUCAGAUGGGAAGAUAAUGACUGUACCAUCAGAAGAAGCCCCGGCUAACUCCGUGCCAGCAGCCGCGGUAAUACGGAGGGGGCUAGCGUUAUUCGGAAUUACUGGGCGUAAAGCGCGCGUAGGCGGUUAUCCAAGUUGGGGGUGAAAUCCCGGAGCUCAACUCCGGAACUGCCCUCAAAACUGGAAGACUAGAGUUCGAGAGAGGUAAGGGGAAUUCCUAGUGUAGAGGUGAAAUUCGUAGAUAUUAGGAAGAACACCAGUGGCGAAGGCGCCUUACUGGCUCGAUACUGACGCUGAGGUGCGAAAGUGUGGGGAGCAAACAGG
rnacentral:rRNA from 1 species